AGUUUCAGCCAGCAACCCCGCCGCCCUCCCCGCCUCAUACCAGCCGUCACCAUUGCUUCCCAGCGCUGUCACUCUCCCGACGGGCUCAUCUGCCUCUGUCAGGCAACAUUAGCCCAGCAGACUUCAUCAAGAACGUGAGGGGAGGCUGAACACAGGGGAGGCUGAAGACCAGUGCGCAGAAGUACGGGCCCCUGGGCAGCCACCCCCAAGCGGCUGCCGGCGGAGCUGUCUGAGCUGCUGAGAGAUUCGUGGGUAGCUUGAUCUCAUUUGCAUAUCACUUCUUCAACGAACACAUUCACAAGAAUCCCAGAUUCUCAGUUUUCUACUUUCCCCGACAGGUUGGCUCUCCUCACACUUGUCCCUGACAGGGACCAACCAUUCCCACGUUCUCCAUAUGCUCUUGGGAAAUAACUUACCUUGGCUUGGAGCAAGGUUCACCGUGAACUGGAGGGCGCUGGUUGGUCUGGACGCGCAGAACCCGCCAUUAGAAAGGAAAAGAAAUGAAGAGGACGCGGAGGCGCAUCUGGGCUGCUGGACGGAACCAAGCCCAGACAGCCCUCGCGCUGGGCGAAGACAUCUGUCCCCCAGCCCACGGGUCUGGAGUCCCCACUAGUGCCACCCGUUGGUUCCUCUGGCCCCUCAUUGCAGGUGAUGAAGAGGUGGGAGUGAGGUUCUGUUGGCAGCAUUGAGGGGUUCUGUACGAACCUAGGAGCCAAAAGUUUCUUGCCAGUAAUUCCACCUUGUUUUACAGAUGGAGAAACUGAGGUUCAAGAGGUCAAGGCCUUUCUCCAAGGUCUCAGUGCUGGCGGCAGAAGCGUUCAGUUUAGCACUGGUCUUGUUUUCAUGAAGGUGUGUGAACACCACUCUGUAGGUGAAGAAGAGCAGUAACCCCAAAUGCAGCAGAACUUGGUAUAUUACCAAGCAUGUCCUGGACUGCCCACCAGCCCGGAGGAUGUAGAAAAGAAGACUUCCUGGGGAAAGAUGAAAGGCAUUGGGGUGGCAGCCAGUGGCAGGAGCAGGCAAGGACAAAUUAUCAUAGGCUGGUCUGCAAUAGGUUGCUAUAUAAGAGGUGAUGAAAUGUUACAACUUCCCUGAGAACCAGCUCAGAGGAAAUGAAAGGGGAACGGAAAGCAUAAAGGUUAGAUUUAAGGCAGCACUUUCUCCCAGGGGUGAUAAUGGGGUGCUUUGUUCAGUGACCAGGGAAGGCUGUGGACUCGUCCCGUCUCUCCCACUUCUGAGGCCUUUGGGAAUCCAUCUUCCUCCUGUCCCAUGUGGGCCUGCUUAGAGGACAGGAAGGAAUGAUUGACUUUGAAAAGUCCCCAUCACUCAGGUAGGAGGUCCUUCCCCCGAUGAGCCUCUUGGGCUCUUUGCUGAGGGGGAGGACAGCAGAUGCGUAGGCUCCAGGGCCCUGGGGGGGUGGGCGCGGGGGUAGGAAGCAGCAGUCAUGGCAUCUCUUGCAACAUACUCCCUGCCAAAUUGAUUCAAAUUGGCUUGGAUAUGAACAUAUGAUUAAAGGAGCGGCGCGAUUCAUUUAUCAAGAGAGAUUAAAGAGCGGCAUCUGCGCAGCCUAGCUGGGGGACAAUUAAGGAGCAAAUCGCUAAGUGUCUGUGCCACCAGGCAUGGGGGCGGGGCCUGGGGGAAGGACAACGGGGAGGUCUGCCAAGAGGACACAGGACAAAAGGAGGUGGUUGGGGAAUCACCACGUGCUGCUGUUUUCUCUGCGCACAGACUGGGCACCAUGGGGAGCCUCAAAGGGCUUUGGGCACCCCCAUGCCUCUUAUCCAGGAGUCAGAGCAGUCCCGGUGGUCUGAGAUUACAGAGGAGGAUCUAGCGAGGCGGCUUUGAGCCUGGCACAGGGACAGAUUUGCUGUCUGUUUUGUGGGAAUCACUUACAUCUUAGGGACCAAGGCGACCAUGAGUGUACAGGUUGGGGCAGGAGCUUAGAGAGCUUAGAAGGCAUAUCCCGAAUGAAGAUGGGCUUUGAUGGCCUUGCAGCUCCUGGGGCUCCCCUAGGGAGUUUGGUGUGGAGGGAAUUGCCCCCUUCCUAGUCUGGAGCCCAGCACACUGGCCAAGAUGCUUUGCUGCAUCUCAAAGUGUUGGUCAUGUAAGGUGAUGUCCAGCUUCCCUGGACACCCUGUGGAGUUCCCCAUCACCACCUAGCAUUCCCUGCCUCAGGGCCUUUGCUUAAGUUCUUUCUUCCUAGCACACCUGUACAGCAAUAUCUAUCUGUAGAAGUGCGUGAGUGCGUGUGAGCCAAGUUGCUUUAGUUGUGUCCAACUCCUUGCGACUCUAUGGACUGUAGCCUGCCAGGCUCCUGUGUCCAUGGGAUUCUCCAGGCAAGAAUACUGGAGUGGGGUGCUGUGCCCUCCUCCAGGGGAUCUUCCUGACCCAGGGAUCGAACCUGCAUCUUUUACAACCCCUGCAUUGGUGGGCAGGUUCUUUACCACUCGUGCCACUUGGGAAGUGCAAUCCUUUAUUCAAGUACCAGCUCAAAAUACCAGCUCCUUUUAGAAGCCUUCCCAGUUCCUGACCCUCCUCUCUCAGUGACAGAACCUCCUCUCUCUUAUAACAUGCCCAAAACAACUUGUCCUUUUCUGUCUCAUGUAAUUAUUUCCAAAGGGGUCUGCCCUAGCCCUAAUCCAUGAGUCCCUGGAGGACAAACACUAUGUUUUACUCCUUUCUACUCACCCAAAAGGAAAAGGAAAGUGAAGUCGCUCACUCGUGUCUGACUCUUUGCAAUCCCAUGGAUUGUAGUCUACCAGGCUCCUCCAUCCAUAGGAUUUUCCAGGCAAGAGUACUGAAGUGGGCUGCCAUUUCCUUCUCCAGGAGAUAUUCCUGACUCAGGGAUUGAACCCAGGUCUCCUGCAUUGUGGGCAGUUGCUUUAUCGUACUCACCCAAAGCUUGUACAUAUUAGGAGGUGUGGUACAUAUUUUCCGUGUCUAACUCCUCUACUAGAAUAUCCACUUCAUGCAGGCAGGACCUCAUCCCGCCCCAGCAUUUAGAACAGUGUCCAGAUGACAGCCAGGCAGUGAUGAAAUAUUUGACUGUUGAAUGAAUGAGCAGAUGAAUAAUACAUAUUUUUUUGACUUGAACAGAUCCCUCUGCCCCAGGCCAGGCUAUCAGAGGUUGAUGCUGGGACUUUCUCUCAAUAAUUAAUCAGAGGCCCGAGUCAGCGUAGGUGAGCAGAGUUGGGAUCUUGCCUGUAGGUCGACUUUUGUCACACUAGUUCCUUGGAAGAAAAAAUGCACCAAGCUAGCUGAACGCAGGAGUAAAAGAUGUGAACGACAGAACUGAACAUGAAGAGUCAGCAGUUAAAAAGACAACCCAGUAACUUCACUUCUACUGCCUUCUGUAUUCAACCUUCAGGGCAGUUUCUUUCAUUCAAGAUAGAGCCACAUCACACUUCAUUCCCAUUCAUUUUGGGGAUGACUUUUCCCCCCCUUUCCCUUUCUUGCCCAUUUCUAGAUGCCUGACAUCAGCAGUAGGCCUGUCUGAUAUCCUUUCUUGCCUACUUGUCCAAACCAGGAGAGCCUGAUUGACCAGCUGUAAAUAUGCAUGCAGGGAUUAUAACUGGUCAUAUUACAAGAGGUAGAGAAGGAGGAGGGUCAUUUGUUUCUUGUCCUUUUGCAUGAGCUGUCUUUCAGCUGUCAGGAAGAGAACCAAGUGUGGAUUGGGACAUGCAGGCAGGGAUUGAGCAGGGUGGAGAAGCCAGCACACCCAGCCUAUUCAAGUUGCCCUAUGGCCCAUGGGAUUGGAGGUCAGAGAGAGUUCUGCCAAGUAUUGAUCAGAAAGUCAUCUUUGGAACCUCCCUGGUAGUCCAGUGGUUAGAAUCUGCCUGCCAAUGCAGGGGACACAGUUCGAUCCCUGGUCUGGAAUGAUUCCACAUGCUGUGGGGGAACUAAGCCUGUGUGCUCUAGAACCCAUGCUCUGAAACAACAGAAGCCACUGCAAUGAGAAGCCUGAGCACACCGACUGGAAAGGAGCUAGCCGCCACUCGCCACAACUAGAGAAAGCCCGAGCAUAGCAACAAAGACCCAGCACAGCCAAAAAUAAAAAAGUUUUAAAAAGAUCUAAUAAACGUUUGCAUCCUUAAAAAGGAAGACAGGAUUUCUGUAAUUGGCAAGAUUUAACAAUCAGAGUAACCUCAACAUUCCCAAGUGGAGGCCAGGGUAGGACAAGACCUGGACGGCUCUGCCAACCUGAAUUACAAUCCUUGGGCUU
rnacentral:lncRNA from 1 species